ACGACUUCAGGCCGAGCGGGAGCGUCGCUGAGUCGGUGAGAGGACGGUGGAUGUCUCGCCGAGGACCGGAGAGAUUCAGGGGGGAGGGACUUAGGGACCUGCUGCUGGACGGAAUGACUGACAGGCUGUGACGGACAUUGAUCGGACAUUGAUCGGAUGUAUCGGCUGCAGCAGCUGCACGUUAAACCGCAGUGAAGGAGCCUGAAGGUGAUGUGGAGGCUCAGAUCGGAUCAGACGCACUGAUUCACCCUCUCGUCUGCAGAGCUGAGCGCCGGCGGUGGACACCAGCAGCAGCCUCUUCCCUGUGAGAGAGAGAACCAACCAUUCAACAACGUCGAAAGUCGCCUACUUCAAGAGGAAAUAUGCGGAGGAGGAGGAUUUACACGGAGGCCUACAUGGAUAUUUUCAAAAACACCUGAUCCUGCAGGAGGACCGCAGCUGCAUCCUGAAGCUGUCCCUGGAGAAGCUGAGGUUCCUGGAGGACCCCGAGGCCUACCUGCGGCGCUCCGUCCUCAUCAACAACCUGCUGAGGAAGAUCCA